GAAACCGGGGCUAAUACCGGAUGCUUGAUUGAACCGCAUGGUUCAAUCAUAAAAGGUGGCUUUCAGCUACCACUUACAGAUGGACCCGCGGCGCAUUAGCUAGUUGGUGAGGUAACGGCUCACCAAGGCGACGACGCGUAGCCGACCUGAGAGGGUGAUCGGCCACACUGGGACUGAGACACGGCCCAGACUCCUACGGGAGGCAGCAGUAGGGAAUCUUCCGCAAUGGACGAAAGUCUGACGGAGCAACGCCGCGUGAGUGAUGAAGGUUUUCGGAUCGUAAAACUCUGUUGUUAGGGAAGAACAAGUACCGUUCGAAUAGGGCGGCACCUUGACGGUACCUAACCAGAAAGCCACGGCUAGCUACGUGCCAGCAGCCGCGGUAAUACGUAGGUGGCAAGCGUUGCCCGGAAUUAUUGGGCGUAAAGCGCGCGCAGGCGGUUUCUUAAGUCUGAUGUGAAAGCCCCCGGCUCAACCGGGGAGGGUCAUUGGAAACUGGGGAACUUGAGUGCAGAAGAGGAGAGUGGAAUUCCACGUGUAGCGGUGAAAUGCGUAGAGAUGUGGAGGAACACCAGUGGCGAAGGCGACUCUCUGGUCUGUAACUGACGCUGAGGCGCG
rnacentral:rRNA from 1 species